GAUGAACGCUGGCGGCGUGCCUAAUACAUGCAAGUCGAGCGAACAGACGAGGAGCUUGCUCCUCUGACGUUAGCGGCGGACGGGUGAGUAACACGUGGAUAACCUACCUAUAAGACUGGGAUAACUUCGGGAAACCGGAGCUAAUACCGGAUAAUAUAUUGAACCGCAUGGUUCAAUAGUGAAAGACGGUUUUGCUGUCACUUAUAGAUGGAUCCGCGCCGCAUUAGCUAGUUGGUAAGGUAACGGCUUACCAAGGCAACGAUGCGUAGCCGACCUGAGAGGGUGAUCGGCCACACUGGAACUGAGACACGGUCCAGACUCCUACGGGAGGCAGCAGUAGGGAAUCUUCCGCAAUGGGCGAAAGCUUGACGGAGCAACGCCGCGUGAGUGAUGAAGGUCUUCGGAUCGUAAAACUCUGUUAUUGGGGAGGAACAAAUGUGUAAGUAACUAUGCACGUCUUGACGGUACCUAAUCAGAAAGCCACGGCUAACUACGUG
rnacentral:rRNA from 1 species